AAAAUGACUCUCAGCAACGGAUAUCUUGGCUCUUGCAAC
rnacentral:rRNA from 5 species